rnacentral:rRNA from 1 species
UACGUAGGGGGCAAGCGUUGUCCGGAUUUAUUGGGCGUAAAGAGCUUGUAGGCGGUUUGGUAGGUCCGCUGUGAAAACUCGAGGCUCAACCUCGAGACGCCGGUGGAAACCAUCAGACUAGAGUCCGGAAGAGGAGAGUGGAAUUCCUGGUGUAGCGGUGAAAUGCGCAGAUAUCAGGAAGAACACCCGUGGCUAAGGCGGCUCUCUAGUACGGUACUGACGCUGAGACGCGAAAGCGUGGGGAGCGAACAGG